UUCCUUACUAGAUAAAAAAUAAAUAUACUGACGAUGGAUUACAGCAUGGACUGGAUUCUCUGAAGUUUCAACUGGUUUGAUGGUCUCUCCUUCACUUAGCUGCAAGCAUCAGAUGGCCAAGUAUCAGCCCAUACUUGACAAAGGAGAUGUGAAGCAGUAUGUUUCAACAUUGCUCCUUUACCAGAGCUACACCAAGACAGUUGUCACAGGUCAAUGGUAUUGUCUACAUCAACAUUUUUGGGCUGGAGUAAAUGCUAGUUCGCCUCGCAGGCGCUCAAGUGCCUCCAUCUCCUGUUCUUCGUCUUCCUCACUCAUUACUUCCUCGUCUUUUGGAAAUUCAUCUUCCAGGAUGUUCUCAAUAUCAUCUUCAUCUUCUUCAGGCUCUUCUUCACUGAAAUCUUCA